rnacentral:rRNA from 1 species
GACGAACGCUGGCGGCGUGCCUAACACAUGCAAGUCGAACGGAGAAUUAGCAAUAAUUCUUAGUGGCGAACGGGUGAGUAACGCGUAGACAACCUACCCUUUAGAUGGGGACAACACCGCGAAAGUGGUGCUAAUACCGAAUAUUGCUUGAGAAGCGCAUGCUUUUCAAACUAAAGAUGGCCUCUAUAUAUAAGCUAUCGCUAAAGAAUGGGUCUGCGUCUGAUUAGCUAGUUGGUGAGAUAAAAGCUAACCAAGGCAACGAUCAGUAGCCGGCCUGAGAGGAUGAACGGCCACACUGGGACUGAGACACGGCCCAGACUCCUACGGGAGGCAGCAGUGGGGAAUCUUCCGCAAUGGACGAAAGUCUGACGGAGCAACGCCGCGUGAGUGAUGAAGGUUUUCGGAUCGUAAAACUCUGUUGUUAAGGACGAAUGUAUAGAUUGUGAAUAAUGGUUUAUAAUGACGGUACUUAACGAGGAAGCCACGGCUAACUACGUGCCAGCAGCCGCCGUAA